rnacentral:lncRNA from 1 species
GCAAGAGCAGAACUCCCCUAGUCCCCUCUAUACGUUUACUCAACCCUUUCCACACCCCUUAAAACCUCAAUAUUGCUUAUUUUACAGAUACUCUACCUUAAAUUCCUUUUGUAGUUUUAUGUCAGUUUGGAAUUAUGUUCUGUAUUUCAAACAGAUCCCCCCUCCACUCUUUGCAGUCAAAGUCUCAUGAUCGAGGGUGAACCUAAUACCGUUAUUCUCAAAACACACUUCAGCCAGAAGGUCUACUCUGACACCAAACAAGCCAGCAUGUCCCUCACCAGGGCCCUGGUCCCAGUGGAGAGAGAUGCAUCCCAUACUGUCUGACCAGGUCAUUUGGCAAGCUGGAGAUCAACAAGAACUCACCAGAGGGAGACAGCACAGUCAACCAGGUUUGAUUUAUCAUAUCCUUUUGAUGGUCUGCCCUGCACUUCACAAAGCAUCGGGUGUGACUCCCUCCUGGAGGCCAUAGAAGGGCCAGGCUAGGUUGGUGCAGAUGGUAGUCCAGAGGGUUUACGUUACCCCUGGCAGUUCCCGCUCCAUAAAGGCAAAAGCAGGUAGAGUAUAGACGUCACAUCUUAUCUUGUUGUACAAAACCCAUCCAGCUCUUUUUAAUGGUCUUUUGAGACGGAUUUGAACCAAUGAUCUCCCAUCUGAUCUUUUAUUUUUUUGAGAUCUGGUGCUCUUGUUACUGAAGAACCAAACUGUGUGUUACCCAUGAAGGCCAUGUACUUCCUCCUCUGAAUUUGAUUGAAUUUAACUGUAUAAUAUCAGUUUGGUUUUCGAUCACAUGCAAAGUUUAUGCCCUCAAGUAGGGUUGCAAAGGGUCGGAAACCUUCUGGAAAUUUUCCAAGGAAAGUUAAGCCCGGGAAUUUUUCUUAAAUUCAUCAAAAUUUAGCUUACAACAGUGAACCUUUUUUGUGGGAUACACAUAAAGCAAUUCUAGGUCUUGUGGCAUAUUUUGGUUAAACUAUCCCCAUUUAAUGGAAUUGUAACCCUCUGAAUGCACAGAGCAUUCUUCCAUCACAUGUACAGCUGAUAAUCAAGAUCUUGCACACUAAUGAGAUGCUAUUGAGCCCACACGACUACACUGUCUGAGCCAAGGACUACAUGCUUUCUGCUGUUACAGAACUACCCACCAAACUCGGACCAAGCAGCGGAGGAACGAGGAAGAAGGAUGGACGUGGGCGGAGAUGAGGAUGAGCAUUUCCAGGGCUAUGGAUGAGUUAAGUAAACCCGAGAGGCAGCUCCAAUAAUUUUUUUGGGGGGGGCACAAGGGCAGUUUUGCAGGGCGAGGAUGGAGCCCCAGGCCAGCUCCCCGCACUAGCCCUGAGGUGCGUCAGCCCAGUCUGACUCGGCCUGUUCCCGCUCCCUGCACUAGCCCUAAGGUGCGUGUGCCCAGACUGGCACAUCCUGUACCAG